GUUAUAAUGCUGAGGUAAACAGAAGAGGCUGCACCAGGAACUGGGUGCCUUCCAGCCACCUGGUCGUCAGACAGUCCCAGGCCCUCAGCCCCUCCAAGAGCUGAGAGACUCCAUACCUCAACUCUUCAGAGGCACCACACUGUAUUGCAAUAUCGGGAAGCUCUGCACUGGUUUGAAAGAUGAAAAAUGUUCCGGAGAUGGAUGGAAGUGAUAUCUAUGCAACAAUAUGAAUAUACAGAAUACCACUGAACCGUAUACACUUAAAAAUGAUUAAGAUGGUUCUAACUCCAAGACCUUUUCACAAUCCUGAAAAGCACUGUUCCAGUUCUGUAGUUUGAUUUCUGCUUGAGCACGGUUGUUGUAGGCCACUAUAGUAGGAAGCACU